UACCAGCCCCCCGAGUGGUCGGGACGAUUAUUGGGCCUAAAGCAUCCGUAGCCGGUUCUGCAAGUCCUCCGUUAAAUCCAGCUGCUCAACAGAUGGGCCGCGGAGGAUACUACAGAGCUAGGAGGCAGGAGAGGCAAGCGGUACUCAGUGGGUAGGGGUAAAAUCCGUUGAUCCAUUGAAGACCACCAGUGGCGAAGGCGGCUUGCCAGAAUGCGCUCGACGGUGAGGGAUGAAAGCUGGGGGAGCAAACCGG
rnacentral:rRNA from 1 species